rnacentral:rRNA from 1 species
UACAGAGACUGCAAGCGUUAUUCGGAUUCACUGGGCGUAAAGGGUGCGCAGGCGGCCAAGUGUGUUAGGCGUGAAAGCCUGGGGCUUAACCCCAGAAUUGCACCUAAAACUACAUGGCUAGAGCAUUGGAGAGGGUAGCGGAAUUCACGGUGUAGCAGUGAAAUGCGUAGAUAUCGUGAGGAACACCAGAGGCGAAGGCGGCUACCUGGACAAUUGCUGACGCUGAGACGCGAAAGCGUGGGGAGCAAACAGG